ACGCUGGCGGCAUGCUUUACACAUGCAAGUCGGACGGCAGCACAGAGAAGCUUGCUUCUUGGGUGGCGAGUGGCGAACGGGUGAGUAAUAUAUCGGAACGUACCGAGUAAUGGGGGAUAACUAAUCGAAAGAUUAGCUAAUACCGCAUAUUCUCUGAGGAGGAAAGCAGGGGACCUUCGGGCCUUGCGUUAUUCGAGCGGCCGAUAUCUGAUUAGCUAGUUGGUGGGGUAAAGGCCUACCAAGGCGACGAUCAGUAGCGGGUCUGAGAGGAUGAUCCGCCACACUGGGACUGAGACACGGCCCAGACUCCUACGGGAGGCAGCAGUGGGGAAUUUUGGACAAUGGGCGCAAGCCUGAUCCAGCCAUGCCGCGUGUCUGAAGAAGGCCUUCGGGUUGUAAAGGACUUUUGUCAGGGAAGAAAAGGCUGUUGCUAAUACCGACAGCUGAUGACGGUACCUGAAGAAUAAGCACCGGCUAACUACGUGCCAGCAGCCGCGGUAAUACGUAGGGUGCGAGCAUUAAUCGGAAUUACUGGGCGUAAAGCGAGCGCAGACGGUUACUUAAGCAGGAUGUGAAAUCCCCGGGCUCAACCUGGGAACUGCGUUCUGAACUGGGUGACUAGAGUGUGUCAGAGGGAGGUAGAAUUCCACGUGUAGCAGUGAAAUGCGUAGAGAUGUGGAGGAAUACCGAUGGCGAAGGCAGCCUCCUGGGAUAACACUGACGUUCAUGCUCGAAAGCGUGGGUAGCAAACAGGAUUAGAUACCCUGGUAGUCCACGCCCUAAACGAUGUCAAUUAGCUGUUGGGCAACUUGAUUGCUUAGUAGCGUAGCUAACGCGUGAAAUUGACCGCCUGGGGAGUACGGUCGCAAGAUUAAAACUCAAAGGAAUUGACGGGGACCCGCACAA
rnacentral:rRNA from 1 species